rfam:Dothistroma septosporum NZE10 unplaced genomic scaffold DOTSEscaffold_13, whole genome shotgun sequence.
ACAUACGACCAUAGGUGACUGAAUAUUAGGGAUCCCGUCCGCUCUCCCAUAUACAAGCAGUCAACCGCGAGACUAGUACUACGGUGGGUGACCACGUGGGAAUCCCUCGUGUUGUAUGUU